rnacentral:rRNA from 1 species
CAGCCGCCGCGGUAAUACAGAGGGUGCGGGCGUUAAUCGGAAUUACUGGGCGUAAAGGGCGCGUAGGCGGUUAGGAAGGUGUGAUGUGAAAGCCCUGGGCUUAACCUAGGAAGUGCAUCGCAAACCAACUAGCUGGAGUAUAAGAGAGGGUGGCGGAGUUUCCGGUGUAGCGGUGAAAUGCGUAGAGAUCGGAAGGAACGUCAAUGGCGAAGGCAGCCACCUGGCUUAAUACUGACGCUGAGGCGCGAAAGCGUGGGGAGCGAACAGGAUUAGAUACCCCUGUAGUCCCUGUCUCUUAUAC